rnacentral:ncRNA from 3 species
GUUGGCCUCAGAUCAGGGAGGAUCACCCGC